GAUGAACGCUGGCGGCGUGCUUAACACAUGCAAGUCGAACGUGAGGGUGUAGCAAUAUGCCUGAAAGUGGCGAACGGGUGAGUAACACGUAGAUGACCUGCCCUGGAGUGGGGGAUAACCAUUGGAAACGGUGGCUAAUACCGCAUACAUCCAUAUUUCUGGGAAGAGAUGUGGGGAAAGCUCUGGUGCUCUGGGAGGGGUCUGCGUCCGAUUAGCUAGUUGGUGAGGUAAAGGCUCACCAAGGCGACGAUCGGUAGCUGGUCUGAGAGGACGAUCAGCCACACGGGAACUGAGACACGGUCCCGACUCCUACGGGGGGCAGCAGUGAGGAAUAUUGGGCAAUGGGCGAGAGCCUGACCCAGCAACGCCGCGUGGAGGAAGACGGCCUUCGGGUUGUAACUCCUUUUGACAGGGAAGAGAGAGGACGGUACCUGUCGAAUAAGUCACGGCUAACUACGUGCCAGCCG
rnacentral:rRNA from 1 species